AAUCACUCCGUACAAGGUGGUGGGCGGGGUCUGUGGUGGUCACGCCCCCUGCCCUGAGUCAUUCCCAGCGCGGCCCCGGCGGAGCCAAGCCAUGGAGAGUUUUCGGGGCCUCUCGGACCAGGAGCUGCUGGAGAAACUGCAGAGCCGGCGCGGACCCCUCGGGCCCCCCCGCAAACUCUACGAGAAGAAAUUCUACGAGUUCGAGACCCGGCGCUGGAGGAGGGGGGGCGGAUGAUCCCGACAGCGACAGAGCCCCCCCAGAAUUUGGGGGGGGGGCACGAGCGUGGCAGCCUAUUGUGGAGCGCCCCCCCAGCCCCUCCCCCACCCUGACGGAUCACGCGGACAGCCCCCUGCGUUUGGAGCCCCGGCAGCCGCUCCGAGCCCCCCCGGGACCCCCCAAAAUCUUCGCGGGACCCCCCGAGCCCCCCCCGGGACCCCCCCCCGGGCGCCUCCUCCCCCUCCGAGCCCAGCUGGUGGCGCUGGGGGUGAUCGGGGGGGUCCUGCUGGGGCUGCUGCUGCUGGGGGGGGCUCCCGGCUGAGACCCCCACAAUCCUGCCGGGACCCCCCCCCCCCCAAAAAAAACCCCUCCUCCCAAAUCAUGGGGCACCCCAAAAUCCUCCCCAAAACCCCUCAGGAUGCUCAAAAUUCUCCCCAAAAUUCAGC